rnacentral:rRNA from 1 species
UAGGGAAUCUUCCACAAUGGACGAAAGUCUGAUGGAGCAACGCCGCGUGAGUGAAGAAGGGUUUCGGCUCGUAAAAACUCUGUUGUUAAAGAAGAACAUAUCUGAGAGUAACUGUUCAGGUAUUGACGGUAUUUAACCAGAAAGCCACGGCUAACUACGUGCCAG